GCAAAAUAGUGAAGAGGUACACAUUGCUGCCACUUUAUGUAUUUAUUGGAUUUAAUUUUGUUUUCCCAUUACUUGCCUGCAGGGAUUUAUUGAAGGUUUUGGCCCAAUGGGCUUCUCAGAUUUUCCUGGAGGUCCUCACAGAAGAAUUUCGGGUUUUGGAGGGUAUAUGUGUUGUUAUGUCACUGUUCUCAAUUCAUAUUAUUGAAUGAAUUUUAUUGCCUUUGGUAGAACUUUGACAAGUGAGAAUUCUUAUUCUUCUUAUUGCAUCAAGAAUUGAAUUAACUUAUCAAGUUAUCUUGUUGCCUUUAUUCAUUCUUGCUUCUUUCAUCCCAAUCACCAAAGUUCUCAAUUACAGGUUAGUUGUCGGUUUGGCAUGAAGGAUUUAUUUAGGGUUCUAAGUUAUUUAUACUCAACAUAUAUGUGGGAUUUUAGAUGUAAUCUUUAAUCCUCGGGUUCUGCAUCUGUUUGGUAUCAAAGCUUUGGCCUUAGAUAAAUCUCUAGGUAUCAUUUGUGUUUGAUUUAUCUAAGUUUAUCUUCUUAUUCUUAUUUGUUUAGACUGUUCAACUUAUAUCUUUGUUAUUCUUAAUUUUGGUUGCCCCUUGUUCUUAUUCUUCAAUUCUGUGUUCUUUGUUUUUUCAUAUUUUGUUCUUAUUAGCUGAAUUAAAAAAAAUUAAAAAAAAACAGAGAAAAAAGGAAGAAAAGAAAUAUCAGAAUCGACUUCUAUUAUAAAAGAGAAAAAGUGUGUUCAUUGAACUUUCAAUUAUGUCCAUCUUAGUCAAAAUGCAUCUAGUUCACAUAUAUUGUCUCACAAUAGCAUAGUUUUUAUUGUUUAGAGCGUAGCUUACAUUGUCCGCGAUCACAUAUGAAAGCGUCAUUCCAAAUCCACCACAAACAUAGAAACCUUACCACAAUCUAUUAUUCAAAGUCACAAUAAACCUCAAACCCUAUAUGUAAUAUCACAGUGAAGGAUAAUCUCACAGACUCCCAGCAGACACACUAUUUACACUACUACUAGUUAUUACACACUCAAUCAUGCGAAAUAACGAAAACAUUAUUGCCCUGUUCCUCUAUCCGCUAGGCUUGGAAAUCAACAACUCCGAUUCCAACUCUAUCCCUACUUCAUUUGUAAAUAAUAAGGAGUGAAUAUAUACAACUCAGUACAGUAAAAAUUAAGUUACAAGCAUCAUAUACAACAAUAGGAAACUCAGGGGUUCUAUAUGUACUCCACCUAUUUAACCUAAUACCUACCAUUGGUAAUUUAAAUAUUAUGCAUGUUAAUUUUGACUGCCCCUCGACAUCCCCUAACUGUACAAAUAUUCUUACCCGUCACCAGUAUCGGCGACCACCAAUAAACUGCCUAUCUCUCGACCCCUAAUAGGCCACACACACACAAAGAUACCAUUCUUUCCCGUCACCAAUAUCAGCUACCAAACCCCUUCUUGUCGGAGUCUCCUGACCAUCACCACUAUCGGCGAUCAACUUACUUUUUAUAGGUAGCAACAACCAACAUCGACGUCCCCCAAUGCUACAAACUCAAAAAUAAUAUCAUCCUAUCCUUACUCCCCCACCUCAUCUUGAAGCUUUCCUAUACCUUUAACCUGUAUAUCUAAACUACACACGUCUCCCCAUAAGACACACACUAACAUUUAACACACUCACAUCUGUAACGUUCCUCUGCCAACUAUCAAAUUUACAGCAGCUAUACCAACCUAUAUACAACCCACUCCCUCACACCACAUAACUACACCACUCAUCCCCUCGCCCUACACAGAGACACCCCCACACCUCUAUUCCGACACUUUAUUCCCACGCUCUACGGCCUCUCUUUCCUCCUCCCAAAUUUUUCUGCAUCCACACACAUUACUUCCUCUCUUACACAAAUCCACAUCACUCACCAAAUCCCUUCUUCUCUCUCCCUCCACGGCCUACUCUAGAUACUCCACUCUCAAAUCUCGAAAUCACCUCUCCCUCACGGACCUCACUCGUACGCCACAUUCCUCAAUCUCUCUCCUCUCGCGGACUCCUCCUCAUACUUCCCCUCAUACUCAUACAGAAUUCUCUCUCCCACUCAGACCUCACUCACGCACCACGUUCCUCCUUCUCUCUCCUCCCACGGUCCCCUCCGUAAACCUCCAUUCGUGCUCACACAAAAUCUCCUCCCUUUCGCGAACCUCACUCACACACUACACACCUUCCUUUAUCUCCUAUCGCGGCCUAGCUCCUACAUAUGCCCUCGCUCAUACUCAACAUCUCCUCUCCCUCACAGACCGCACUCCUUCCAUUUUCUCCUCCCGUGCCUAGCUUCCUCCAUAUGCCCCCGCUCAUACUCAACAUC
rnacentral:lncRNA from 1 species